rnacentral:tRNA from 1 species
GCCUGGGUGGCUCAGUCGGUUAAGUGUCUGACUUUAGCUCAGGACAAAAUCUCAUUGUUUGUGGGUUCAAGCCCUGCAUUGGGCU